rnacentral:rRNA from 1 species
AGCGAACGCUGGCGGCAGGCCUAACACAUGCAAGUCGAACGGAUCCUUCGGGAUUAGUGGCGGACGGGUGAGUAACACGUGGGAACGUGCCCUUUGGUUCGGAACAACUCAGGGAAACUUGAGCUAAUACCGGAUGUGCCCUUCGGGGGAAAGAUUUAUCGCCAUUGGAGCGGCCCGCGUCUGAUUAGCUAGUUGGUGAGGUAAAGGCUCACCAAGGCGACGAUCAGUAGCUGGUCUGAGAGGAUGAUCAGCCACAUUGGGACUGAGACACGGCCCAAACUCCUACGGGAGGCAGCAGUGGGGAAUCUUGCGCAAUGGGCGAAAGCCUGACGCAGCCAUGCCGCGUGAAUGAUGAAGGUCUUAGGAUUGUAAAAUUCUUUCACCGGGGACGAUAAUGACGGUACCCGGAGAAGAAGCCCCGGCUAACUUCGUGCCAGCAGCCGCCGUAA